ACUUCUCAGCAAUUCGUUUGAAGUGUACUUCAUGCAAUCCUGCCUUUUAAUCUACAGCCGUUAGUUUUUCUUCCUGCUGGACUGGCCAUUCUUAAUUUUCAUAUUGCUAGCAGAGAUGAGGCAGUGCUUGGGGCUCUGACCAACCUGCCCAAAAGAGAGAGUGUCCUUGAGGCCAACAUUGCAGCUUUUCGUUUUAAGUGCAGAGUGGACAGUGAACCCAAGCCCAGACGUCUGUGCUCACCCGGAGGGGGCUGAUGUGCGCCAUGGGGAGGCGGCGUCCCAUUUACAGGCCUCAGUUUUCCUCCCCCAAAUAAGGACAUCUGGAAAAACAAAAAGGACUGGACACAAUUGAUGUCAUACCUUGAAGAAAUC